GGGAAAUUUGCUCCUUUUUGUGAGCUGAGCUGGAGGAUGCUGGUCUUCAGCUGAGUGAUGGACCCACUCAUCCUGACCACGUGCUGAUUUCCAGCUUGACCUCCCUGUGAUGCUGCCUUAUAGCCUGGCCUCUAUCGCCUCCUCCUCUCACUCAGCAUCUCAAAGCUUCUGCAAUGGGCGUUUAGCUACCAGAACAAUAAUCCUCACUGCAUUACCUUUGCUGAAAGAGCAGACGUGAAGGCAGGAUGUUCCACACACACACAGCUGAUGUGAAAGGAGCUGGCAGAGUACACAGAGAGGGCGCACUGCUGCAGCUCUCCUGCUCUGCCCCAAAAUCCUGGGUGCUGCAGGACCUGCUCCAUAUCCCAUCCCAGAAUCCUGGGUGCUGCAGGACCUGCUCUGUAUCCCAUCCCAAAAUCCUGGGUGCUGCAGGACCUGCUCCGUAUCCCAUCCCAGAAUCCUGGGUGCUGCAGGAUGGUGGAGCUCUGGUGGAGGAAGGCCUGGAAAAUGCUCAGAGAAGACAGGAGUUCAGGCUCAGUGCUGAGCUAAGGAUUUAAGAAGGAUCCUCCAGGACUGUUAAGGGCCCCAGAGAUUUUCCCUGGCAAUUAGUCAAGAUUUACCAUGGAAUGGAGGCAGCUGCUCCAGAGCUCACUCCAGAACCUGACUUAAAACAUUGCAACUUCCCCUGUUUUCCAAAGCAUCCCCUCAUUUACCUGUUUGGAGAAGAAAUUGGGUUUUAAAAGGCAAUUAUUUUCUACCCCUGACCCCUGAACACACACAUGACCCAAAAUGCCCCAAAAAUGUGGCUGUAAUGUCACAGAGCUUACUUUCAGCUAGCAUUAAUCAACAGAACACCAACCAAAGUUACUGGGAUAAUGAUGAUUUAUUUCGCUCUUAAUAGCUUGCCAGGUAGAAAAAUCUCUUUGCACAACCAGCAGCCUGCUGGGUUGCCAUCUUAAAAAUCAUUCUGGGGAGCUAGAAGUGUGCUGAGGUGUCUGGCACAUCAGGGCUAAAGGUCUUGCUCUGAGCUCACUGGUCCUGUUUCCCAAUGUUAGGAAAUGGUUGAUGUGGGGACUUAGCAAGGAGCUAUUAUUUAACAUGCAGAAUUGUUUAAUAUGAGGCUGCAAGGGUUUCCCAUGUCAUGACUGUAAUAGAGUUUGUUUCAUUAUCAAGUAUAGCAUAUUAAUUUAUUUGCUGCUAUUAAUAUGCUGCUUUCACAUCAACAAGAAAAAACACAAGUUACCUUUUGUCUCUGC
rnacentral:lncRNA from 1 species